rnacentral:sRNA from 1 species
UAAUAUCUGAUAUGUGGGCCAUCGGCCCACACGAUAUUAACUCUAUUUUUUAAGGGAGAAAGCCCGUUAAGAUAGCUUGCUAUCUGGGCUUUCAUGAGUCGCCCAUGCGUUGCACUACUGCACGGGCCUGGCUCAACCCGCCAAUUUUAAAGUCCUAAUUUGAUCCUCUAAUAACUUUAUUUCAGUCUUUCUUAAAAACAUUUUACUUUAAUAUUAUUGACCACUCUUUCGAUUUUGGUAGUUAAUGUAUAUAUCGUUGAUCUGAUUGAAAUGGCUGGGAAUGAUUUUGAGUUUAUGGAACUUUGAUGGUGCUACUUAUAUUGCCUGCUCUGUGAGGCCUCUCGUUUUCAUUGUAGUUCAGAAACACUUUGAUUUGAAGUGGGAAACGUUUCUAUAGUGGAAGAAGUGUCAAAUAUUUCUGUCUCAUUUUGGGUUGAUUGACAUCAGCUAGAAGAAAGACACCUUUCUCUGUAAUCUAAGUUUUCUGGAUCAACAUUUCAGAGUUUGGUUAGAAUUAUGGUAGGCAAGCAGCUGGAAUAUGUGGUCAGAGGAGAAACCAAAUUCAAGAACUUGAGGAAGAACAAGACAACUGUUGGAGGGUCAGUGACAUUCUUGGGAGAGAACAUCGCCACUGGUGUCAAAGUUGUAUUUUUGGUUCUGUUGAGAGGUUCCGUCGGAUUUAUCAUGUAUCAGUAAUUAUUCACUUUCAGUAGCUGCUUCUCUUACUGUUCUUUAGAUAAUGGAGCCUAGUUCAGUCUUCUUUUGGUUCUACUUCUCAUGCUAAUGAUGUUGCUUGGCUUGAGUUUGCUAAUUUGUUACUUUAAAAUCCUG